ACGUCAGGCUCUGUGCUGACAGCUCUGAGCCUGGAGCAUCUUCAGAUUCUGUGUCUCCCUUUCUCUCUGCCCCUCCCCCGCUCAAGCUCUGUCUUGCUCUCUCAAAAAUGAAUAAAUGUUAAAAAAUAAAAGAUUAUCAAAUUGAGAAAGCUUCAUGGGGAGGGCUGUGGAGCCUGGCUACUGUUAUUAUUAUUAAUGGUCUGUGGUCCCACAGGAGGGAGACUGUGUCCAUGCAGGACCCACAGCCUGCCAAUGAGCGAUGCCCCCCAGCAUAAUGCUCCAUCAGUGCAGGUAAAUGGGUCACGGCUCGGUGAAUGAAUGAAUGAACAAACGAAUGAAUGUUAUUGCAGAGGCCUCUAGGCACCUCCCCUGCCCUUACAGUGCCCUCUGAGAGUUUCCUUCUCUUAAGCGAGAGGGGCCAUUCUAACUACCUCACAGGGCUUGGGACUUGAUAGCAAGAGAUAGUGAAGGUUGGUGAAUAAAUGAAUUAAUGAGAAGCACUAAGAAUCAAGUCAGGCUCACAACGCAACGAGGUGAAUCCUCACCCAUUUUGUUUCCUGCCUGGAGGUUCCUGACUGCUCCCACACCUAUCCCUCCACCUCAUCCAACCCCCUUCCUUCCACAUGGGCUACCAGCGAGACUUCUGUGUAUCCGCAAGUCCCUUGAAUGGCUCCCCGCUGCCUGUAAGGCUCACCCAACCCCCGUGGCAUGGAACCUGGCAGCAAGAGGGCUCCUGUUAAAACCUAAGCUGGAACAGUUCCCUCCUCUGUCCAGAGCUCUCCUAUAGCUCUCGCUGCACUCAGAGUAAAAACCAAAUAUAAUUCUUACCAUGGACCUUGUCUCCUCCUACUCUCCCACUCUUCUCCGGCCAACUGACCCCUACUGCUGUUCCGCACACGUGCCGGGCACACUCCUACACCAGGGCCUUUGCACUUGCUGUGCCCCUCGGCCUAGAACCUCUUCCCAAUGGACACCUGCCAGUCUCACUCUCCCACCUCCUUCAUGCCUUUACUCCGGUAUCUCUCUCUCAGGACUUCCCUGGACACCUUUCCUAAAAUGGCAACUCCUACCCCACUCCAUACUCUUGAACCCCCUUCCUGCCUUAUUUUUCUCGGUAGCACUUAUUACCACCCAGCACGAUUUGUAAUUUAGCCACUCAUUUUGCUUAUUGUCUGUCUACCUCAGUGACUGUAAGUCCAAUGAAGGGAGGUGCCAUUUCUAUCCGAUCCACUGUUGUGCCUCAGUGUCUUGAACACUGCCUGGCACAUAGUGUGUGCUCAAGAAACAGUUGUGGAAUGAAUGAAUGAUCUCAUUCCAGGCAGAUUUUCACCCACAUCCCCCACUGCUCUCCCCUCAAGUCCAAUACCACCACCCCCCCCCCCCCCCCCGCCCAACUAUGCCAUGCUACAUCAUGCCUCUGUGCCUUUGCAAAUGCUGUUCCCUCUGCCUGGUCGGAGGAAAAUAUGUUUCCUUCCCUGCUCUAUAAAUUCUUACCCCUAAAACCCGAGGUCUGUUGUUUCCCUAUCUCCAGAAUAUUCUAGACUAAGCCUCUAGGCCCACAUCGUUAACUACUUCUUUUGAGCCUUCCACUGUAGCCAGUACUUGUUUCUGCACUUUCAUGGUUUCCUCCCUCCCCCCAGUGUGAGUCCGUAAAUUGCUUUCCUGGCUUAAACCAAUCUCAGUUGGAUUUCUGACAGAUGAUUGGGAGAUGGGACCCUCGUGUUCCUGAGAGUGGUUGUAUGAUUUUCCUAAUGCAUAAAAUAAAUGAAUAAAUAAAAGAACCACUGUUAAUAUUUAACAUAUUGAUGUCUUAUGUUCCCCAAAGAAAACAUUAGGUGUUUCAAUGAAGGAACGUGCUUGAUAACUCUGCUUGGUUUCACGCGUAUUAUUGGGAUUAAAACCCAGGGAGUGGUUAGUGGAUGGACGGGUAUACGGACGGAGGGAUGGCUGAGUGGGUCGGCGAGUGGACAAGCGGAUGGACAGAGAUGAACAGACGGAUGGGUAGGCAUGUGGGUGGCUGAACAGUAACCAAAUCCUGACCACAGCCAGUGGAUGGAUACAAUGGGUCCGUGAAUCAAUGGAUGGGCGGGUGGCUGGACAGGUGGGAAUGUGAUAGGAGGAUCAGUGAGUGGAUGGAUAAGUGGACAGACAGAUGAGGCAGGUGAAUGGACGGGCGGAUGGAGGCAUGGGUGGGAUGGGCAGAUGCAUGAGCGGGCAAAUGAAAGGUUGGGUGGGUGAAUGAGGGGCAGAUGAAUGAACGGUUACUUUGAGUUUAUGAGUGAAGGUUUUGGGGUAUGUGUGCAUGGAGCUACACAUCACCUGGAGACCCUCCGUGCCAUGUCUGACUACCACAGGGAUAUGUCCUGUUUCCAGGGGGAGGCUUCUCGGGGCUCACAUUCCCCAAACAGACUUUCGGGAGGCGGAGGAAUUCUGAGGCAAGGAACGGACAACCCACCGAGAUCUGCAGGGCGGGGGUUUGCGAAAGAGGAAGGAACCGGCCAACAUACCUGCGAGUCCUCUGACCCGUCAUCUACGUCCGCCGAGGUCCACUCCUGGGCCAGCCCAGUCUCUUGAGAGGACAGACCUGAGGGAAGGAGAAAGGAGCCAGGAGCCUCCAGCAAAACCCAGUGAGGUUUAAUCCACGGAAUGAAACCAGGAUGAAGCAGGCUUCCCCAGCUGCCAGCCGCUGGUGGAGCAAACUCCCCACAUGAGGACAUCAACGUCCUUCUCACUCCUUAGCUGGUGAGAAAUGGGGGUCAGGCCAAAGAUCGGCAUUUUCCAGUCUUCCUGCACCCAGGCCCUGCUAGGAGCCCCCAACCCCCUCCCCACUACCAGGACGGACACCCACAGCAUCCACGCCUCUGCCCGGCGGCUGUUCCUCCCCUCUGGGAGAAGGGAGGACCCUGCCCCAGUAGAAGGUCCAGUCCCCGUUCUGCUGCGGGGCUGCCUUUCGGGGUUCCGCGUCUCAGCAAAUGGCACCAGCUCUUGUCCAGCAGUUUGAGCCCAAACCCCAGGCAUUAUCCUUGGUGUCUCUCUAGUCCACCCCUCCUCACCUCCAUCAGCAAGAACUCACGUUCUCCCUCUGGUCACCAUAACCUCCUGGAACACAGCAAGCUUGUCACCACGGAGGGUCAUUGCAUGUGUGGCCCUGGCUGCUUCUUUCAAAACUUGUUUGUUGUCGGUUUCUCCACUAAAAUCUGAGCUCUACUGCGGCCAUCUUGUUUGCCGCUAGAUCCUGGCACACAGUGGGUGCUUGUGGUAGAUUUUCGUCCCCAAGGGCCUUCAACUUGUUCGUUGACCCCCACAUCCACACCCCUGGGCGGUCCCCUCCCUCAGUGAUGCUGAACUUGACCGAGUAGCUUAUUUGGAGCAACGGCCCCUAAGCAGGUGGGUUGCCAGCACAGCUUAAAAAACUGCUUGUGAAUGGAGGCCCUUCCCUCUCUCGCCCACAAUCAAGAGAAAACUCUCCUGACACUGACCCCAAGCUGGCCCGGGCGACUCUCGUGAGAACCAGCCCGGGCUGGCCUGCGGGAAACAAGCGGCCUAAAGUCAGCACCAUCAAGCCAGCCAGACGCGCGGGGUCGACCAGCUGCCUCGCCAGCUCGCUGUGGCCGCAGGUGCAGAUGCAGGCUGGGGAAGCCAGCCAGGGGUCCCCUCAGCCCACAUCAUCCUGCUGACCUGCAGAAGCAUGAGCGGAGAAAUGACUGUUGCCUUAAGCCACUGAGUUUUGGGGCGACUCGCUCCACAGCAAAAGCUGACGGACACAAGGUCCACAAACAUUUGUUGAAUAAAUGUUAACGAAUGUUGUGUCUUCCCCACCCCACCGCCAACCUCCCAUGGGACCCCCGCCCCUCACCUUUCUCGUCACCAUCACAGCCGGUGGCCCCGACCUCCACAGCCACCCAGUCUUUGGUGGGGGUGGCGUGCUUCUCCCAGGCCCUGCUCUCCCGAGGCAGCAGCGUCUUGGCCCUCUCGGGCUCCAGCAACCCCCGGAUCUGCUCAGGCCUGAGGCUCUGCAUCUUCCCGGGAGGCGGGGCGAGUUCGUCUUUCUCCUCCGGUUCCCGUUGGGUUCCCGGGCACAGGACUCAGAACCUGAGGACCGACAAACAUUUAGUCAUUCAGCAAACACAGUGUCACCUGUGUGCCAGGCACUAUUUCUAGGUGCCAGAGACAGCGCAGUGAUGGAAGCAAAGCCCACUGCUCUUGUGGGGCUCACAUUCCAGCAGGGGUGGGGGUGGGGAGAGCCAGACAGCGCACCACACGAUGGUACGUGCUCCAGAGACCAAUGAAGCAAGAAAGGGAAUAGAAGUUUCAAGGUGGGGGGCAGAGCGUGGUGCCUAAGUGGCCCAGGGGGUUAAGCCUCUGACCCUUGAUUUCAGCUCAGGUCAUGAUCUCAAAGUUCCUGAGAUCGAGCCCCAUGUAGGGCUCUGCGCUGACAUCUCGGAGCCAGCUUGGGAUUCUCUCUCUCCCUCUGUCUGUCCCUUCCCUGUGCAUGUGUGCUCACUCUCUCUCUCUCUCUCUCUCUCUCAAAAUAAAUAAACAUUUAAAAAUAAAAUACUCCUUAAGAUUCCUAUUGUGUAUACUUUGUCAACCCAAAAUUCAGAAGGUUGUUUGCAAGAAGCCGCCUGAACUACGUGGUGUAACCCUUUGAGACUCUAGUGCUGGUUUACGUUCUUAUUCUAGGAAACUGCAUGUGUCAUCAACCUUGUGUUAUAUUAACCUACUGAAUGCCCUCGUGAAUAGUAAUUUUCUUUUUAUGUUUUAUUUAUUUUUGAGACAGAGAGAGACAGAGCACAAGCAGGCGGAGGGGCAGAGAGAGAAGGAGACACAGAAUCAGAAGCAGACUCUGGGCUCUGAGCUGUCAGCACAGAGCCUGACGCGGGGCUCAAACCCACAAAUCGUGAGAUCAUGACCUGAGCCGAAGUUGGACGUUCAACCAACUGAGCCACCCAGGCGCUCCAAAUAGUAAUUAAAAAUAAAAAAAUAAGUUAUCUUGGUGUGGAGGGAAAAAAAAGCCUUUCAAAGCAUUUUCUUCUUUGAUCAGGUUUAUACAAAUAAAACUUGUUA